AGGACGAACGCUGGCGGCGUGCUUAACACAUGCAAGUCGAGCGGUAAGGCCUUUCGGGGUACACGAGCGGCGAACGGGUGAGUAACACGUGGGUGAUCUGCCCUGCACUUCGGGAUAAGCCUGGGAAACUGGGUCUAAUACCGGAUAUGACCUCCUAUCGCAUGGUGGGUGGUGGAAAGAUUUAUCGGUGCAGGAUGGGCCCGCGGCCUAUCAGCUUGUUGGUGGGGUAAUGGCCUACCAAGGCGACGACGGGUAGCCGACCUGAGAGGGUGACCGGCCACACUGGGACUGAGACACGGCCCAGACUCCUACGGGAGGCAGCAGUGGGGAAUAUUGCACAAUGGGCGAAAGCCUGAUGCAGCGACGCCGCGUGAGGAUGACGGCCUUGGGUGUAAACCUCUUUCAGCAGGACGAAGCGCAAGUGACGGUACCUGCAGAAGAAGCACCGGACUAACUACGUGCCAGCAGCCGC
rnacentral:rRNA from 1 species